rnacentral:rRNA from 1 species
GUCCUAGCCGUAACGAUGGACACUAGGUGUUGGCUCCGUUGGGCUCAGUGCCGUAGGUAACCUGUUAAGUGUCCCACCUGGGAGUACGGCCGCAAGGUUGAACUCAAGGAAUUGACGGGCCAGCACAAGCGGUGGAACAUGUGGUUCAAUUCGAUGCUACGCGAAGAACCUUACCCAGGCUUGACAUGCAAGAAGUAGGAACCUGAAGGGGACCACUCGUAACCAGUCGAGAGCUUGCACAGGUGCUGCAUGGCUGUCGU